UACGUCUCGAUGCGACAAUUGGGGUAAUUCCGUCGAGCGUUUAGUCUCGCCCUAACGAUGGGUGAUGUCUUUGGAAACAAGAUAACAGGUCUCAAUAGCGAUCAGAUCUCUACACGUAGUAGAUAGGUGUGCCAAAAACCUUUCUGCCUACGCGCAAGCAGCCAUGAGUGGCUGUGGCGUGUUGGCGCCCGUUUUACUAGUAAUACUUCUAACUGGCAUAGCUGCUGCACCAAUUAACCUUGUAUCUACAUCAACCUAUAGUGUUUCUGGAGAAACAAGAGGGCUUGAGGUACCCAUGGAUCUCGUGGCGGGGGUCGGCAUUGGAAUGAGUUCAGUACAACUUGUUGUCAAUGUGCACACUGACAGCGCUGGAAAUAUUGAAGUUCAGACUAACUAAAGUAACAAAAGAAUAAGUGUUAGCUCACGAAAUAUAAAAGCUGAGUUGUUACAAUGUCGGUAAUCGUAAAAUAGUGUAGUACUCGAGAUGUUUAUAAUUUAACGUUUAGUGAACAAAACGCGCAUCAAUUAGAUAUAAUUCAUAACAAUUUCUCGCGUCAUAAUAAUUUGUCAGAUAACAAUGUCUUACGUUGAUGCAUUCAUUACAGAGAUAACGAAUGUCAUGUUCUUGUGAAACAAUUUAAUCGGUUUUAACAAUGGUUAACGCCAUUUAUAAUUACGAAGCUUAAAACAGCCCACGAAACUGUCACUCAAUUUUUAAAAAGAUAAAAACACAUUUUGGACAGCCUCCAAAAUGGAAUAUAAAAGUUGAAUGGUUCGAAGAAAAUGUAAUUGAAAUCCGAUAUAAAAUUGUGAAAUAAGGUCCAUAUGAGGUACAAUAAUGUUAUCUUUUCACAAGUGAACGGAAUCGCGUAUCAGCUUAUCAUUGUCGGCGAUAAAAGCAACGUUUGUAACAUUGCUCACGACAUGUUUUAUCAAGCAUGUAUAUUGAUUUCUGCGUCUAAGAUCUGCUUUCAUACUUACGGAGGUAAAUAUGACAAUGUAGAUCGGUUAAUUGUUAUGAUUUUAUUUGCUCAAUUUAAUUGAGGAUUUGUAAAAUGUUAUAUUAUUUUUUAGUUAAUAUAUAAAUGUAAAAUGUAACGAUUCGUAGCAAUUACGAUUGCUUUGGAGACCGAGACAUCAGCGUUUGUAGUUUGUAAAUUUAAUUAAAGGUAAAUCGGUAAACAAUCAUUUAAUUCGUACUUUUAUAUUAUAAUUUUUUUAAG